GGUUGAAGAAAGUCAAAGGCAAAUUUAUUGCUUUCAUUCAAAUUUUUGUGUGACUAUUUAUUUUGUCUUGAAUUUUUAUGUUCUGUGAAACUUUAUUUUUCAAACUCCAAUUUUUAUAAAAAUUACAUACCUCAAGCCCUAAACAUGUUGGCAUCAAAUGCAAAGACCUCGAAGGACAAAUGUAUUACGGAGAACAACAAAAAGAAGAAAGAGGAAGUAACGGCGCAGUCGCAGUCCCUACAUACCGCACACGAAAAUGCGCCCAGUACAUCGUCAGCUGCCUGCAAUUGCCCAAGCGAGUUGUCAGGAUCAUUAAUCAUGUCCAACUCCGUUGCAACGCAAUACUCAAAUUCAAGUUUCUAUGAUUCUACAUUGCUCACGCCGCCCGAUUUGCCCUCCGAUGUGGAAGAUGAAGUGCUCUUGGCGUACAAUCCAAAUGAGCCGCGUUAUUGUAUUUGUAAUCAAAUCUCUUAUGGCUCAAUGAUUGCUUGCGACAACAAGAAGUGUCCGUAUGAAUGGUUUCAUUUUUCAUGUGUCGGUGUAAAGAAACCACCGAAGGGCAAAUGGUAUUGUCCAAUUUGUAGAGCCUCAAUGAGUCGCAAAAGUGAUGCGCGGAGGGGAAGCAAACGAAAAAUCCCUUAUUAGUGAUAUGUAGCGGAAAACAUUGCGGAAAACUAUUUUUUUUUUAUUCUAUUUUUUUUUAUUUUUGUAAAAUUACUUAAAAUGUAUUCAACUCUUUCGUUUUUUGAUAAAAUUAUGGAAACCGAUGUCAUCAUAGCUAGCAAAAGCUGUGUUCAACCGAAAAGUCAGCUAAAUUAAGUAAAUAUUGAUAUCACAACCAA